CCUCCUUGGAUCCAUACGGUUCUCUCCCUCUUCUUAUGUUCUUCUCUAGCUUCAUCUUCUCUUCUUUUUUUCUCCACCUCAUGGCCGACCCAUUGCAAGCUUCCACUACUCCCAACCACCCAUUAUUACCACUUAAAGCAACCUAAACCACACCAACACCACUUUGUUUUAAUGGAGGCAGCAAGUGUUUUCUCCUUGAGUUGCUGAAACGGUGGUGUAAAGGUUUCAAGAAUCUUGGUGAUGGACCUAAUGAUUGGAUUGCUUGAUUAGGUGGGGCUCGGUUGAGGUAAAAUUGGCUGGCUUUCCAAAGUAAGUGGCUUCUUAAUGAGAUUUUUAAAAUGGAAUCAUUAUUGCACUAAAGUAUUUUAUGGUUAUACCCAUUUUGGAACAUCAUUCAUGGUUUUCCUAAAAUGUACUGUGUACUAUUAUUGUCAAUUAUUUAUGGAAAAUGCAUGAGGCAUUUAAAGUGUAUCAUAUUUCUUAUUGCAUAUGGGGAAAUGCAUGAUUUGUUAGCAUGGAAAAGAUUAGCAUCUUUGAUUAAAUUCUUAAGAAUAGAUUUUAUGGAUUUAUUGUAUUAUUUGAAAGAUUUAUUGUAUUAUGGAUGUAUUAUUUGAUACAAAAUCUUCUUGACAAGAAAUGAGGUUGAAGGCUUUGAGAACCUUGUGAAUAUAUUGGGUAUUUUAAAGUUUUGUAAACUACUUGAAAUUGAACUGUUUUUUGUUUAAAUGUAAACUGUGAGCUUUUCAUGUUUUACCCUUGGGCUGUGACAUGAGAUUACCUGGUGAUUACCCAGCUAGAUACUAUAGUCUGUGUGACAUUGGUAUCUUAGCACCCAUCUUUGUGAUGGCUAUGAGUUUUGGCUUUAUGUUGACAAUGAGUUUCGGCUUUGUGUCGGCAAAUGAGUUUCGGCUUUGUGUUGACAAUGAGUUUUGGCUUUGUGUCGAUAGAUGAGUUCUAGCUUUGUGUCGAUGAUUGUCAUGUGGCCUUGGGUUAGAUUUUCUAGUUUGGAACAGUGUUGUUAUUGCUCACAAUGUAUAGUAUGUAGUCUCAUGUUGAGAUAUUUCAAAGAAGCUUUGUACUAUGUUGUUUCAAGCAUUCCUGUCAUGCUAUUAUUGAAAUAGGUUUUUUAGAAAUCAAAAUGAAAUUAUCAAAGUAUGACAUAUUUUGUAAAAUGCUCUUUAUCAUGAGAGUUGCAUUUCCCCCACCCCCAUUAAUUAUGCUACUUAUUGAGCUUUAGCUCAUCCCAAGCCUCUUGCUGAAAAAAAAAA